rnacentral:lncRNA from 1 species
AAGAAAAAGAGGGAGACGGAGAGAGAGAGAGAGAGAGAGGGCAAGGGAGACGGAGAGAGAUAGAAGGAGUCGAGCGAGAAGAAAGGCGAAAGAGAUGGAUGCAAGUAAGAUGGAGAGGUAUUAUCUUCCUCCUCUAAUAACUCAGAGUAAAUAAUGGUUUAGAUGGUUUAGAUGUGGUUUAGAAAGGAGUAAGAUGUUGUUAAUCGGGUCUACUUUUUGAUAAAUUAAGAGUUUUAUGUUCUUAAUUAGGUCAUAGGUUUGUUUAAUUAUGAGUUGGUAAUUUAGGGAUUUUGUUUGUUUGUUAAUUUAGGUGUUUUAUUUGUUUGUUUAUUAAUUUAGGGGUGUUGUUUGUUUGUUAAUAUACCAAAAUGAAUCUUGAUUUGAAUUUUUGGAGAUGAUCUCGAGGGAAGUUCAGUUUCCUGAUUUUAUAUAUUCAUAGCCAUUGGAUUUCAUUUACUGCAUUGCUUAAGUUAGUGUUUCUGUGGUGAUUCACAUUUGGGCAAAGGUUCUGUAGUUAUUUAGAGCUCAUGAAAUGGAAUCUUGAUCUUUUUUUCGAAGAGAAUCUUGAGGAAGUUUGAGCUGCUUAAAGCGUGCACUUAGCAACUGCAAUACAUUUCUUGAGUUAUUGGACUUGGAAAUCUAAUUCCGUAGUUAUCUACUUAUAUUGCGAUCGUGUUCAUAAGGCUGAGAUCUAGCUAAACACAGUUCUGCUCUAGAUUACAAAGUUGGUUUCCUCUAAUUAGAUUGUUUUUUUAAUAUAUGUGACAGUUCAAGUUGUAAUCUGAUAUAUUGGUGAUGUUAUUAUGCCCAGAUGGCCAGAUCUAACUGCGAUUAGAUCUUUAAAUUUCAGGAAUUUGAAGAUUCUAUGGAGAAGACCAUGAUGUUCAUUGUCUGUAGCACGCUGGUGCUUCUAUGUUCUACAUCAGCAUAUGCACAAAAGGGUGAAUCUCCUCCAUCUUACUCCUUGCAUAAGUAUGCCAUAAAGGUACUUGAAUUAUAAUGAUUGGCAUAACAUAUUUCCUCCCCAAAAAAGUGUAGUGUGUCUGAGUAUUUUCAAUAUUCAUCAAUGCGCACAGUGCACACUGGAAUUAUACAUGGCACAUAUCUUCUGUUACUUGGGCACCAAAACUGCAACAUAUUCCAAAACUUUUUGAAACUGUUCUUCAUUUGGAACUUCUUUCUGGUUUAUUAUGUUGAAUUUUUUUAAUUUGGUGUUGCUCUAAAAGUGUCUGCUGCAAUAGAUAAACUACAGAGCAACAAAAGGAAGUGCCUGGGGCUCUCUCAUUGUUUCAAUUGUUCUAGCAAUCUUAUUGGAUCAACACUUUUGACGAUCAUCUAACUAAAAGCAGCUACAUAUUUAUUGCAAGAUAACAGAUUACAUACAUAAAGAAUUCAUGCAUAUUAGAACUAAGCAUGACCAAUCACAAAUUUAGUAACAGAAGAUUAAGACCUUUUCUUCGAAGAAUUAACCGGCCAAAAAACAAAAAUAAGAUAAUUUGAUCUCACUUACAAAGGGACUUCUUGCAAGAGAAAAGACCAAGUAAUAUUACUGAUCUUCGACUUAUUUGUAGAAUUUUAUAGUGAAAAAUCAUUAGUUUCCUGAUAUCCUCGGAUUUAUCUUUUGUGUCUUCAGCUUAGAAUAUCUUGUAGUAAUCAGCAAAUAUGUACAUACUUUGUAUUCUUGUAUCAAGUAUAUAUAAAGGACUCUUUCCCUAUCAAUAUAACAUACAUCAGGCAUAUCAUUCUGAUUUACAGGAGAGCUAGGAAAAUGAGCUGGUGGUGGUCUAGUGUCGCUGUUGCUGCAAGGGUAUUCUUCUGUAUCGAUUACACUAAUCUAUUCAUCAUCUAUGUUCAUGUAUAGGUCAGUCAUGAGUUUUUUAAUCAUUUAUUUAUUAAAAAAACUCUCAAUCAAUAAAAUGUUCCGUCGAACUAUGGGAGUGUGGCCCUGGUUGUGGGCAUCACAGGCAUCGUUGGCAACAAUCUGGCCUUGUCUUUAGUCUAAUGCACAGUGGUCCUCUCCUAUAUCCUUUAUGAAUAUCUUUAGUCUGGCCUUGUUUCGCUUGGAUCUUAUUUAUCUAUUUUAAGUUUUUUCAGGCUAAAAGAAUGAAUUACUUGCAUACAAGCAAUCUUUUGAUUGUACAUUGAGACCUGAAAACUCUGAAUCUCCUUGUUGAUAAGAACUGAGUUGUUAAGUUUAGAUUGGUAUUGGGCCUAUUGGCCUUUAAGUCCUCACACACACACACACACAUAUUACAAACUAAUUCCAUUUUUUCUUUGCUUGAAGAACUAAGAAUUUAUUUUAUUUCUUGCUGAAAUGUAAUUAUAAUUUUUAAUGUCUACAGGUUUGUGAUUUUGGGAUGUCAUGGUUUGUAGGUAUCUUACUGGUGUCAUACUUAUUUCCUUCUAUUACUGCAGUUCAUGUAUUGUUGAUGGAAGCUCUAGGUUUUCUGAUAUGGAGGAAGGUGAUUACUCUGGAAAUAUUUUAUGCUUAUAGUUGUUGGGCUACUGGUGUACUAGGAGUCCAUGAUUAAAAGAUUACCGGACAGCCUAUAAGUUCUAUUAAGUAGAAAUUGACUAAAGAUUACAGGGCAGUCUCCAUGAUUAACAAUUUAUAAGAAUAUAUAUCCAAGUCUAAUGGGAAACAUACAAAAAAGAAAAGUGCAAGUCCAGAUACAAGUGUUUUCCCUUCGGUCAUCAUUUGUAGUGUAUAUAUAGCCAUGCAAUACAGCUUUAUAUAUUGUAAUGUAAAAUUAGAAUUAGCUAAGUUGUCCUCUGGAACAAGUGUUUAAUAUAGUUGAUAGAGUUUUAUUUAUUUAUUUAUUUAUUUUUAUUAUUCUAAUGGAUAUAUGACAUGAUUAUAUACUUGUUGGUGUAGGAUAUCAAUGGACUUGAAGAUCUCUAAUUAAAGAUUAUGAUAUGGAGGAUAAACUUAACAAAAACUGAAGACAAUCCUCGGACAUUUGGCUGAGAAGAAUUAUGUGCCGGUGGUCAGAAUUAACAUGAGUCGAAUGCCAAUAGCAAUGCAGCUUCAUAUUCAUGAUUAGUUGUACUUAGUUGUACUGUGAUCUAGAUUUGGCCCAUUUUUUGAUGUCAAAAAUUUGAUGUACUUCAUCUAUUUUGGCCUAUUUCCAUUUCUAAACUCGAAAUUGUUUUUUUAUUUAGUAACUAUGGUACUCAUCUUGGUUGUGGUUGUCUAGGAAUGAUCAUAGUUGUGGUUGGUAAUAGCGUUAGUACUGUUUUUGGGAUUUGUUGGUGUUGAACUUUUAAUGGUGGAUUAAUAUAU